CCUACGGGAGGCAGCAGUGGGGGAUAUUGCACAAUGGGGGAAACCCUGAUGCAGCGACGCCGCGUGUGCGAAGAAGUAUUUCGGUAUGUAAAGCCCUAUCAGCAGGGAAGAAGAAAUGACGGUACCUGAGUAACAAGCACCGGCUAAAGACGGGCCAGCAGCCACGGUAAUACGUAUGGUGCAAGCGUUUUCCGGAGUUACUGGGUGUAAAGGGAGCGCAGGCGGGACGGCAAGGCUGAUGUGAAAGCCCGCGGCCCAACCGCGGGACUGCAUUGGGAACUACCGGGCUGGAGUGCCGGAGAGGGAGGCGGAAGUCCUAGUGUAGCGGUGAAAUGCGGAGAUAUUAGGGGGAAAACCAGGGGGGAAGGCGGCCUACUGGACGGUGACUGACGGUGAGGCUGGAAAGCGUGGGGAGCAAACAGGAUUAGAUACCCUAGUAGUC
rnacentral:rRNA from 1 species